AUUGAACGCUGGCGGCAGGCCUAACACAUGCAAGUCGAACGAGUGGCGGACGGGUGAGUAAUGUCUGGGAAACUGCCUGCUGGAGGGGGAUAACUUCUGGAAACGGUAGCUAAUACCGCAUACCAUCAGCUGUGCCCAGAUGGGAUUAGCGAGUUGGUGGGGUAACGGCUCACCAAGGCGACGCUCCCUAGCUGGUCCGAGAGGAUGACCAGCAACACUGGAACAGAGAACCGGUACAGAAUACUACGGGAGGCAGCAGUGGGGAAUAUUGCACAAAGGGGGAAAGCCUGAUGCAGCCAUGCCGGGUGUAUGAAGAAGGCCUUCGGGGUGUAAAGUACGGUCAGCGGGGAGGCGUUACCCGCAGAAGAAGCACCGGCUAACUCCGGGCCAGCAGCCGCGGUAAUAC
rnacentral:rRNA from 1 species